AGCACGGGAGCUUGCUCCUGGUGGCGAGUGGCGAACGGGUGAGUAAUGCAUCGGAACGUGCCCUGAAGUGGGGGAUAACGUAGCGAAAGUUACGCUAAGUACCGCAUAUUCUGUGAGCAGGAAAGCAGGGGAUCUUCGGACCUUGCGCUUUUGGAGCGCCGAUGUCGGAUUAGCUAGUUGGUGGGGUAAAGGCUCACCAAGGCAACGAUCCGUAGCGGGUCUGAGAGGAUGAUCCGCCACACUGGAACUGAGACACGGUCCAGACUCCUACGGGAGGCAGCAGUGGGGAAUUUUGGACAAUGGGCGCAAGCCUGAUCCAGCCAUGCCGCGUGAGUGAAGAAGGCUUUCGGGUUGUAAAGCUCUUUCGGUUGGGAAGAAAUUGCUUGGGUUAAUACCCUGUGUGGAUGACGGUACCGGAAUAAGAAGCACCGGCUAACUACGUG
rnacentral:rRNA from 1 species